GAAGAUUUGAUCAGUUUAGGGUAUUUUUCCAGUGGAGUUUACAUCAUCUACAAUACCAGCUGCUGUGGAGUAAGGUACACCAGAGCUUAGAUGACAGACACCUAUCUCCACAGACCAAAGUGCUUCUCUGCAUGCAAAAAUAUCUAUUUUGUGCCCAAGAAGUUGAAAUGGAGGUAUACAUCUAAUGAAGACCUGUACAAUGUCCAGAAAGAAUUCUUAAGUAGGUUAUAUUCUUGAUUUUAGUCAUAGAGCAUAUUCUUUAAGCUUGCAGAAAAUAUCCCUUUCAAAAGUCUAAUGUUCCUGGUGACUUAGUGAAUAACUGUAUUUUAACAAUGUACAUACUCUGUAAUUAUCAGGCCCUUUUGCUGGGACCAUACAAUGAUACCUUGUUUUAGCGUGCUAUUUCCAUUGUAUAAUGUAUAAAAGACUCAACACUUUACUUCCCUAUGCUGAAUAAAUAUUCACCCUAAUAUAAAAAUAAAUAUGUUCCCUAGAGUGUAAAUAGUAUACUACUGGGGUGUGCUGACUGGCAUAAGUGAUAAAGUUAGAUGACAGAAAAAAAUGGAACUGCUGUCUUGUAAAGGCCUUGACUAAAGGAGGAGGUAAAGAGGCUGAAUCUUACACACCCUGCUUUCUCCAAGAUUAGCAUUAAGUUUCAUUAUCCUCUCCACAGAGUUCUGGUCUUCCACAAUUUAAGCCUUAUUGAAAUUAAGCCUUAUUCAAAGCCAGAUUGCAGGUGAGGAAGAAAGUAGGAAUCAUAAUGAGGUAAAUUCAGAGGCAGCAGUUACAGAGGUGAAUUAAGACAUGGUUUCAUUCAACAAUAACGUAGCGUCUUCUGAACACUUUUUUAUAUCUUUAAGAUGUUUCAAAUAAAACAAUGGAAAAUGUGUAUGUACACAUAAUCACAUGGAUGUGAAGCUGGCAAUUCUACAUUAGUUUAUUUCACAUCUGAGGUUUCAAAUUCAACAUGAAUUUCUAUACUGUGUUUUCCAGUAUUUCAGUGUAAGUAGUGUUUAGUGAGUGUCUGGUAUAUUUCAGUAUCUCGAAAAACAACUAAUGUACCUAAGGAGGAGCCUGUAAUCUGAAGUGAAAUUGUCUUUGCCUAGUGUUAUUUUUUUUUUUCCACAAAAAAAACCCCAAAACGCAAGUAUUGAAAAAACACUGUAAAAAUAAUUUUAAGCAGCAGAAUAUUUGGAAGUAUCAUAAGGAAAAGGAAAUUCUAGAUACAUUAUUAGUAAUUAUCUUACUGUAUCACUCAAUAUUUUCAAUGAAGAAUAGAUCAUAGCAAUCAAUGUAAACAGGCAAAAGAGAUCACACAGAGCAGUUCACAGUCUAAAGAUUAAAAACAGAUUGGAGCUAGAAAAAGAAAAAAGAACUUAUAAGAAAUGAAUGGGGGCAAAAAAAAUGACCUAAUUUUCUUCUGUAUGUAUAUUUGUUCUAUUUCCUGACUUUAAUUAAGUUCUGGAUAUAAUUUUCUUUGUUAUAUUUUUUUACAUUUAUUGUACUUGUAUUUAAAAAAAAAAAAAAGAAUAUGUCUUGCAACUUGCUUUGAGAGUUAUUUGAACACGUGAUUCAGAAUAGGUCAACAUACUGUAGCACACAGCUGUAUUUUUCCAUUUGCAUGAUAGUUUUUUCUGAGAUGAAAGUUUGGUUCUCUCUUGCCAUGUUCCUUGUACAAUAACUUAAUGUGAUGUCCAUAAUGAAGUAGUCUUUGAUGACUUUUCUUGGGAUGGAACGAGCCUUAGGCUAUAAAACAUGCCAGCCAGAUGCUUUUUUUUUCAAGUGCCUUCAAAAAUCUUAAAAAACAAACAAAACAAAACAAAAUAAAAGCCGACAACAUACC
rnacentral:lncRNA from 7 species